rnacentral:tRNA from 1 species
GCCGGGGUGGCGGAACAGGCAGACGCAGCGGACUUAAAAUCCGCUGAGGGUAAACCUCGUGGGGGUUCGAUUCCCUUCCCCGGCACCA